CAACAAUUUUCCUUUUCCUCUUCCCUCCAGGGACAGGCAUAGCAGGAGACAGAAGGCCUGUGAGCAAAAGCCUGAGAAAACAGAUGGGUCUCCCUUAGUGACCUGCAGAUCAACAGCCUCCCUGCCUGGCAGCUGGACCAGAAGGAGUUCAGGACUCAGGGCUCUGCAUCAGAAACAUGCUGCGUCCAUCCCCUGGAGUUCAAAAUAUCACUUUAUGUCAAACCUUCGUCAUCUCUUGCCAAGAUCAUUUCAACAACCUCCUAAUUAGUCUGCUUGGAUCAAG